UACGGGGGGGGCAAGCGUUGUUCGGAAUUACUGGGCGUAAAGGGCUCGUAGGCGGCCAACUAAGUCAAACGUGAAAUCCCUCGGCUUAACCGGGGAACUGCGUCUGAUACUGGAUGGCUUGAGUUUGGGAGAGGGAUGCGGAAUUCCAGGUGUAGCGGUGAAAUGCGUAGAUAUUGGGAGGAACACCAGUGGCAAAGGCGGCUCACUGGACCGGUACUGACGCUGAUGCGCGAAAGCGUGGGGAGCAAACGGG
rnacentral:rRNA from 1 species